rnacentral:lncRNA from 1 species
AAAACUAGGGUUUUCAUCUCCCCAAACCCUAAUCCGGUCCGUCAACCACCACCUCUACAGAACAAAUCGAUUUCGAGGGAUGGCGAAAUCGAAGAACCAUACGGCGCACAACCAGUCGUACAAGGCUCACCGGAAUGGCAUCAAGAAACCACGCAAACACCGUCACACUUCCACCAAAGGGUUUAUCCAGUUUUAGAAUGCUUUUUAGUUUGAUUUAUCUGAAAUCAGUAACCUUCAAUUAUAGAAUAAUUUACGUGUUUUUAGCUGUUUUUUGUGAUUUAAUGAAGUGCAAUUUUAAUUAGAAUUGUAAAAUUAAAUGUGUGAUUAGUUUUAUCAACAAUUUCAGUCUUAUAAAUAUACAUAUUUUUAUAUGUAAAUAUUUUAAGUAGACAGGUUUUAACCGCUCCUCAACCCAUUUUUAUAAGUAUAGCAGAUUAAUUGCUGGGAUCUAAAUGGUUUGGUUGGAAUCUUGGCUGGAAUUGUCGAUUUUUGGCCGGUUAGGCUCGACUACUGAUUAAUGAAAAUUUACUCAGUGUCCAGCCGACUAGUGAUUAAUUGCCGACUAGUCCACAUUUAUACAAUGCAGAUCUGAUUAAUUGUUUUUUAAUAAUCAGAAGGUUAGAAUGCUAAAUCUGUAUUGGAAUUAAGCUGUAUGCUUGAUAAAAAGAUCUUGAGCAUAUGGUUGUGACUAUAUUUUUUGUUUUUUUGUCAUAAAAUGUUGAGUAAGUCAUGUUUGGUCACUUCUUUGCUUGCUAUGUAUUAUGGAUUUGACAAAUCAAACUUGUUUGUUUGAACUAUAUAUUUUCGGAAACUACAAAUCAAACAUGUUUGUUUGAUGGUUUGAGUUUUUUUUUUCAAAAUUGUUUGUUUGUAUGUAUCGGUAAGAUGCAAAGUGGGUGAAAAGAUGGUUCAUUUUAAUCAUACAUAAAAUCAACAAAAAAGUAAUAAUAGAGCUUAACUGGCUGGUUUCUUCAUUUCAAGUUUCAAAUUUUGGUCUAACCAUUAAACUUGAUGUGCCAAUCAUGUUGGGUUGGUUGGAUAAAUUGUUUAACUAACCAUAUAUCUUUUUGUGUCUAAAUCUGAAUGUGUUAAGCAUGGUUGGUGGGUUAGUGAGUCAUAGUCAAGUGAUAAACAUGUCAAUGGAGUUGGAUGGGUUAAAUGGGUUAGCGGGCCAAACAUGAUUGUUUUGGUUACAUAGGUCAAUCCAAACAUAGCCUGAUUAUUGCGAUAACCCAAAACCUGAUCAUUUUUGCGGUGUGUCAAAACUCAAAAACCAAACUGUUUCUCAACUUGUCAAACCCUUGGAUAUGCUUUGGUUUUGAUGAUUUCAUCGGUUUUAACAGUUUAUAUGAACACCUUUAGGCCAAGCAAGUCAUUUGGUUUAAAAUAUGAAAUGAUUUGUGUUUGAUUUUGGUUGUUUUUAUGUGCAGAUGGACCCUAAGUUCUUGAGGAACCAGAGGUAUGCAAGGAAGCACAACAAGCAGAGUGGUGAAUCUACUCAAGAAGACUAGAUGUUUGAUAGAAACACAAAAGUUGUCAACUCUAGGUUUUGGUUUUGUUUCAAAUGAUGUCAUGCUACUGCUUUAUUUCUGAUUUUUGUGUUUUUGGAUUAAUUAUUUUUCCGCAAUUUAGUUAAGUAUGCUGCCGUACUAAAAUCUAAAUAAAUUUUCCAGUUCU